UGCUUGCACCUGAUUGAUUUUGGUCGCCAACGAGUGGCGGACGGGUGAGUAACACGUAGGUAACCUGCCCAGAAGCGGGGGACAACAUUUGGAAACAGAUGCUAAUACCGCAUAACAACGUUGUUCGCAUGAACAACGCUUAAAAGAUGGCUUCUCGCUAUCACUUCUGGAUGGACCUGCGGUGCAUUAGCUUGUUGGUGGGGUAAUGGCCUACCAAGGCGAUGAUGCAUAGCCGAGUUGAGAGACUGAUCGGCCACAAUGGGACUGAGACACGGCCCAUACUCCUACGGGAGGCAGCAGUAGGGAAUCUUCCACAAUGGGCGCAAGCCUGAUGGAGCAACACCGCGUGAGUGAAGAAGGGUUUCGGCUCGUAAAGCUCUGUUGUUAAAGAAGAACACGUAUGAGAGUAACUGUUCAUACGUUGACGGUAUUUAACCAGAAAGUCACGGCUAACUACGUGCCAGCAGCCGCGGUAAUACGUAGGUGGCAAGCGUUAUCCGGAUUUAUUGGGCGUAAAGAGAGUGCAGGCGGUUUUCUAAGUCUGAUGUGAAAGCCUUCGGCUUAACCGGAGAAGUGCAUCGGAAACUGGAUAACUUGAGUGCAGAAGAGGGUAGUGGAACUCCAUGUGUAGCGGUGGAAUGCGUAGAUAUAUGG
rnacentral:rRNA from 1 species